rnacentral:lncRNA from 10 species
GCAGAUGGUCCAAAAUCACUGACUGAGAAGGGGCUGUGUACCUUGCCAAGAAAGUGGACUAAUAUUUUUGGGAAGUUUUAAUUUGCUUCAAUUAAAAAUUGAGGGCAGUUCUGAGCAAAACAGAAGUAGGUGAAUUUAUUUUCUGGGCCUCUGCACAGAUCUUUCUGGGCCCUCAGCCUCUGCAGCUGUUUCCAAGAGGCCUCUACCCCAGCCAGCAUUUCCCAACUAGCCGGUUCCAUGACUCCUACCAUUCCCCCCCUACUCUCCCGCCAAAGCAGGCCAGACCUGCCAGGGAGAAACUAAUCUUAGAAAUCAUCUUUUUUCUUUCUUUGAGACGGAGUCUUGCUCUGUCGCCCAGGCUGGAGUGCAGUGGCACCAUCUUGGCUCACUGCAAGCUCCGCCUCCCGGGUUCACAUCAUUCUCCUGCCUUAGCCUCCAGAGUAGCUGGGACUACAGGCGCCCACCUCCACCACUAAUUUUUUGUAUUUUUAGUAAAGACAGGGUUUCACUAUGUUAGCCAGGAAGGUCUCCAUCUCCUGA